GACUCUUUAUGAUGAUCAACCAAUCACCAUCUUUCGGCUGACAGCCUGAUGUACACUUUGUUUACCUGAGAGUC
ensembl:snoRNA